rnacentral:rRNA from 1 species
CCUACGGGUGGCAGCAGUGAGGAAUAUUGGUCAAUGGGCGGAAGCCUGAACCAGCCAAGUAGCGUGCGGGAUGAAGGCCCUACGGAUCGUAAACCGCUUUUGCACGGGAAUAACACCCUCCACUUGUGGAGGUCUGCAGGUACCGUGCGAAUAAGGGCCGGCUAAUUCCGUGCCAGCAGCCGCGGUAAUACGGAAGGCACGAGCGUUAUCCGGAUUCAUUGGGCUUAAAGGGAGCGUAGGCGGGGGGGCAAGUCAGCGGUAAAAUUGCUCGGCUCAACCGCGCCCCGCAGUUGAAACUGGACGGCUUGAGUUGACGAGAGGUAGGCGGAAUGCGUGGGGUAGCGGUGAAAUGCAUAGAUAUCACGAGGAACCCCGAUUGCGAAGGCAGCCUGCCGGGGCGCGACUGACGCUGAGGCACGAAGGUGUGGGUAUCGAACAGGAUUAGAUACCCGAGUAGUC